AUUGAACGCUGGCGGCAGGCCUAACACAUGCAAGUCGAACGAGUGGCGGACGGGUGAGUAAUGUCUGGGAAACUGCCUGAUGGAGGGGGAUAACUACUGGAAACGGUAGCUAAUACCGCAUACCAUCAGAUGUGCCCAGAUGGGAUUAGCUUGUUGGUGGGGUAACGGGUUACCAAGGCGACGAUCCCUAGCUGGUCUGAGAGGAUGACCAGCCACCAUGGAACGGAGACCCUGUCCAGACUCUGACGGGAGGCAGCAGUGGGGAAUAUUGCACAUGGGGCGAAAGCCUGCUGCGGCCAUGCCGCGUGUAUGAAGAAGGCCUUCGGGUUGUAAAGUACUUUCAGCGGGGAGGCGUUACCCGCAGAAGAAGCACCGGCUAACUCCGUGCCAGCAGCCGCGGUAAUAC
rnacentral:rRNA from 1 species